AUAAGUAUUUUGUCUUUGUAACAAAAGUUAUCUUUGAGUUGGUAACAAAAGCUGUCUUUGAGUUGGUAUCAACUUAAACAUAUAAGUGUAAAGAUUUAAUUACAAUGGUAAUUAAGUAAGUAACAUUCUGAGUGCAUAAUCAAUUGCUGAUUUUAUGUCUAUUACUUUUCAGCUUUUUCAUGUAGCUCUUUCUUCUUCUUUUUUUUAUUAUUAUUCAUCUCUAUCUACCCUCAAUUAACUAGCUUGCUUAGUUUAAUAAUCAAAAGUAAACAAAGGCUAGUUGUUUUUUUCUUAUUUACUAUUUUUAUCAUUUAAUUUUCUUGUAUCUUUUUUCUUCUUAUUUACUAUUUUGUUUUAGCAAGGAUAUAUAAUGGAAUUUGAAUUGGCAAAUCUGCAGGGAUCAUGACGAGGCGACCUUUGGUCUUGCAGCUUGACAAGACAAACGAGGGAGCUUAGAAAUACGCUGAGUUUCUUCACCUUUGCAAGAGGAGAUUCACAGAUUUUGAGAGCUGGCAAUUAGGAGUCAGAAAAUCUGAGGUCAAAUUUAGGAUGUGUUGGAUGAGGCAACUACAAUGAAACUUUUAGAGAGG